UACGUAGGGUGCAAGCGUUGUCCGGAAUUAUUGGGCGUAAAGAGCUCGUAGGCGGUCUGUCGCGUCGGCUGUGAAAUCCCGAGGCUCAACCUCGGGUCUGCAGUCGAUACGGGCAAACUGGAGUUCGGUAGGGGAGACUGGAAUUCCUGGUGUAGCGGUGAAAUGCGCAGAUAUCAGGAGGAACACCGGUGGCGAAGGCGGGUCUCUGGGCCGAUACUGACGCUGAGGAGCGAAAGCGUGGGGAGCGAACAGG
rnacentral:rRNA from 1 species